rnacentral:rRNA from 1 species
UACGAAGGGGGCUAGCGUUGCUCGGAAUCACUGGGCGUAAAGGGCGCGUAGGCGGAUCUUUAAGUCAGGGGUGAAAGCCUGAGGCUCAACCUCAGAAUUGCCUUUGAUACUGAAGAUCUUGAGACCGGAAGAGGUAAGUGGAACUGCGAGUGUAGAGGUGAAAUUCGUAGAUAUUCGCAAGAACACCAGUGGCGAAGGCGGCUUACUGGUCCGGAUCUGACGCUGAGGCGCGAAAGCCAGGGGAGCAAACGGG